rnacentral:rRNA from 1 species
AAAGGCCUACCAUGGCGACGAUCUGUAGCUGGUCUGAGAGGAUGAUCAGCCACACCGGGACUGAGACACGGCCCGGACUCCUACGGGAGGCAGCAGUGGGGAAUAUUGGACAAUGGGGGCAACCCUGAUCCAGCCAUGCCGCGUGUGUGAAGAAGGCCUUUUGGUUGUAAAGCACUUUAAGCAGUGAAGAAGACUCCAUGGUUAAUACCCAUGGACGAUGACAUUAGCUGCAGAAUAAGCACCGGCUAACUCUGUGCCAGCAGCCGCGGUAAUACAGAGGGUGCAAGCGUUAAUCGGAAUUACUGGGCGUAAAGCGAGCGUAGGUGGCUUGAUAAGUCAGAUGUGAAAUCCCCGGGCUUAACCUGGGAACUGCAUCUGAUACUGUUAGGCUAGAAUAGGUGAGAGGAAGGUAGAAUUCCAGGUGUAGCGGUGAAAUGCGUAGAGAUNCUGGAGGAAUACCGAUGGCGAAGNGCAGCCUUCUGGCAUCAUAUUGACACUGAGGUUCGAAAGCGUGGGUAGCAAACAGGAAAAGAUACCCUGGUAGUCCACGCCGUAAACGAUGUCUACUAGUCGUUGGGUCCCUUGAGGACUUAGUGACGCAGCUAACGCAAUAAGUAGACCGCCUGGGGAGUACGGCCGCAAGGUUAAAACUCAAAUGAAUUGACGGGGGCCCGCACAAGCGGUGGAGCAUGUGGUUUAAUUCGAUGCAACGCGAAGAACCUUACCUGGUCUUGACAUAUCUAGAAUCCUGCAGAGAUGCGGGAGUGCCUUCGGGAAUUAGAAUACAGGUGCUGCAUGGCUGUCGUCAGCUCGUGUCGUGAGAUGUUGGGUUAAGUCCCGCAACGAGCGCAACCCUUGUCCUUAGUUACCAGCGGGUUAAGCCGGGAACUCUAAGGAUACUGCCAGUGAGAAAGUGGAGGAAGGCGGGGACGACGUCAAGUCAUCAUGGCCCUUACGACCAGGGCUACACACGUGCUACAAUGGUAGGUACAGAGGGCAGCUACACAGCGAUGUGAUGCGAAUCUCAAAAAGCCUAUCGUAGUCCAGAUUGGAGUCUGCAACUCGACUCCAUGAAGUAGGAAUCGCUAGUAAUCGCGGAUCAGAAUGCCGCGGUGAAUACG